AUUAAAACCUACAUAUUCUGCCUUUGCACGACGUUGCAGAAGUGAGGGAACCAACCAAGUUUGCUAAAGUAAUUGUGAUAGAAAUGUAUUAGCCUCAGGGGCUCCUGGGGUGGUCCAUGCUGUCAUAGUACAGUG